rnacentral:rRNA from 1 species
UGGGGAAUUUUGCACAAUGGGGGAAACCCUGAUGCAGCGACGCCGCGUGAUUUAGAAGGCCUUCGGGUUGUAAAAAUCUUUUGUAUGGGAAGAAAAUGACAGUACCAUACGAAUAAGGACCGGCUAAUUACGUGCCAGCAGCCGCGGUAAUACGUAGGGGGCUAGCGUUAUCCGGAUUUACUGGGCGUAAAGGGUGCGUAGGUGGUCCUUCAAGUCGGUGGUUAAAGGCUACGGCUCAACCGUAGUAAGCCGCCGAAACUGGAGGACUUGAGUGCAGGAGAGGAAAGUGGAAUUCCCAGUGUAGCGGUGAAAUGCGUAGAUAUUGGGAGGAACACCAGUAGCGAAGGCGGCUUUCUGGACUGCAACUGACACUGAGGCACGAAAGCGUGGGUAGCAAACAGG